rnacentral:lncRNA from 1 species
CAAGCAUAUUUCCCAUCAUAGACCAAGGUGCUGAUUACAGGCAGGAACGAAAGGAGGCUGGCCCUCAGCCCUCUUAGACAGCAGAACCCCGGAAAGGCCAAGUUUGCUUUGCACAGUUGGGAAUUGCUUACUGGAGCUUCUGCUUCCUUCAGGCUUCACAGUACAAAGAGUUUGGAUGUCAUCCUGAUGUUACGAAAGCCGCUCAGGUUAUGAUCUUGAUUAACACAAUGGCCAUGAGAGACAAACAGAGGAGAGAAAUUUGUACCAAUCAGAAAAGAACACCAAGCCCAAGAGAGGCGAAUAACUUUCUUCAAAGCUGACAGCAGUCUACAAAAUAACUUGAUAGGAUGGAAAAUUGACAACAACAAACCCAGGUCAGUCAUGUGAAUUUGAGUGAUAUCUUCAGAGUGGCCGUAGGUAGGUGCCAUAUUAGAGGCAGGUGCACCAUUUCUUGGUAAAUACAAUAGUCCCUGUCUUUUUCCAGCAUUGAAGCAUGUAGCUAUUUCUUUAGUUGAAUACCAGAUGAAGUGGUCAGCUUGCGGGUAGGGUCAUAUUGUAAAAGGCAUAUCUUUGCUCACUAGAUUUUCAUCCAAGUGGUAAGAAGUUCACAUUAAAUUAUGAGAACUUAAGGGAACUAAGACCAGACUGAGGGACAGCAGAGUCACGGCUCCCACCUCAAACACACUCUGAGGCAUCUGUCCAUGGAGGGCAACAGCUGGGUGGAUCGCCCAAGCUACUUAAAUGGUUAGUUCUUUUUCUUACUUUUUUGUUUGCCAAACAUAUGUGGUUAAAUUGCAGACGUUAAAUGCCUGUGUGCUGAGAUUUCACUAUAUCUGAUUACAUAGUCUUUCUUUAACCCUUUCUACUUUGUGAUUGCCAGCAUCUCAACAUCUCCUAACUACAGCAGAUGAAGAUGACUUUGAGUUCACUAUUGACACGGGUAGGUAUCCCAUUUUUAGAUAGCGACAUAGUUAUUUCCCCAAAUUUGAAGAAAGCAAGCUGCUGGUAAGAAAACGACAUAACUAAUUUUAUUUCUUUCAUGAAAAUAACAGGUUGCUUCCUUGUUAGUUAAACAUUUUCAGUAACUUGUCAAAAAAAUUACAGUAUUUUUCCCUCUCAUCCAACAGAUUUUUACACACUACAGUUACAAACAAAGGCUCAGUUUUACCCGCAGAAGCUCAUGCAGUUGUUGGUGUAUCUUUUAAGUGUAUUUUCCAUUUUAGUGCUUAGAUAUUUGAAAGAGGCUAUCAUGUGUUCCGUAAACCUCAUCUUUUCUAAUUCUGUUUCCACUAAUUCUAACUUCACAUAAAAGAAGGAGGU